rnacentral:rRNA from 1 species
GACAGAGGGUGCAAACGUUGCUCGGAAUUACUGGGCGUAAAGGGCGUGUAGGCGGGAAGGCAAGUCGGGCGUGAAAGCCCCAGGCUCAACCUGGGAACUGCACUCGAAACUGCCUUUCUUGAGUGCCGGAGAGGAAAGCGGAAUUCCUGGUGUAGAGGUGAAAUUCGUAGAUAUCAGGAGGAACACCAGUGGCGAAGGCGGUUCUCUGGGCAUGUCCUGACGCUGAGGAGCGAAAGUGUGGGGAGCGAACAGG